rnacentral:rRNA from 1 species
GCACAAGCGGUGGAUCAUGUUGUUUAAUUCGAUGAUACGCGAAGAACCUUACCGAGGUCUUGACAUCCCUUGCAAAGCUAUGGAGACAUAGUGGAGGUUAUCAAGGAGACAGGUGGUGCAUGGUUGUCGUCAGCUCGUGUCGUGAGAUGUUGGGUUAAGUCCCGCAACGAGCGCAACCCUUAUUGCUAGUUACCAUCAUUAAGUUGGGGACUCUAGCGAGACUGCCAGUGAUAAACUGGAGGAAGUGGGGAUGACGUCAAAUCAUCAUGCCCCUUAUGACCUGGGCUACAAACGUGAUACAAUGGCUGAAACAAAGGGCAGCGAAGCAGUGAUGUGGAGCGAAACCCAAAAAAGCAGUCUCAGUUCGGAUUGAAGUCUGCAACUCGACUUCAUGAAGUUGGAAUCGCUAGUAAUCGUAGAUCAGAACGCUACGGUGAAUACGUUCUCGGGGUUU